AUUGAACGCUAGCGGGAUGCUUUACACAUGCAAGUCGAACGGCAGCGCGGACUUCGGUCUGGCGGCGAGUGCGAACGGGUGAGUAAUGUAUCGGAACGUGCCCCGUAGCGGGGGAUAACUAAGCGAAAGCGUAGCUAAUACCGCAUACGCCCUACGGGGGAAAGCAGGGGAUCGUAAGACCUUGCACUAUUGGAGCGGCCGAUAUCGGAUUAGCUAGUUGGUGAGGUAACGGCUCACCAAGGCGACGAUCCGUAGCUGGUUUGAGAGGACGACCAGCCACACUGGGACUGAGACACAGCCCAGACUCCUACGGGAGGCAGCAGUGGGGAAUUUUGGACAAUGGGGGCAACCCUGAUCCAGCCAUCCCGCGUGUGCGAUGAAGGCCUUCGGGUUGUAAAGCACUUUUGGCAGGAAAGAAACGUCGCGGGCUAAUACCCCGUGGAACUGACGGUACCUGCAGAAUAAGCACCGGCUAACUACGUG
rnacentral:rRNA from 1 species